rnacentral:tRNA from 1 species
UGGCUCAGUGGUUAAAGACCUCAGCUGUUAACUGAGUGAUCGGUGGUUCAAGCCCACC